rnacentral:pre_miRNA from 1 species
AAUAUACUCCCUCUGUUCGGAAUUACUUGUCUUGGAAAUGGAUGUAUCUAGAACUAAAAUACAUCUAGAUACAUCCAUUUCUACGACAAGUAAUUCCAAACGGAGGGAGUAUUUC